GCCCGGAUGGUGAAAUUGGUAGACACAAGGGACUUAAAAUCCCUCGCCGCAAGGCAUACCGGUUCAAUUCCGGUUCCGGGCACCA
rnacentral:tRNA from 2 species